rnacentral:rRNA from 1 species
UACGGAGGGUGCAAGCGUUGUCCGGAUUUAUUGGGUUUAAAGGGUGCGUAGGCGGCCCGUUAAGGCAGUGGUGAAAGCCUCCAGCUCAACUGGAGAACUGCCAUUGAUACUGGCGGGCUUGAGUACAGACGAGGUAGGCGGAAUUGAUUGUGUAGCGGUGAAAUGCAUAGAUACAAUCAAGAACACCGAUUGCGUAGGCAGCUUACUAGGCUGUAACUGACGCUGAGGCACGAAAGCGUGGGGAGCGAACAGG